GCCCAAGGAAGCCCAGUUUCAUGUGUGAAU
rnacentral:piRNA from 1 species